CAUAUUUAUUAUAUUAAAUAGACUUCGUUUUUAUUAUAUCUAUUAUAAAUGUAUUUUUUUUUAUAGUAUUUUGUUAGCUAUUUCUUACCUUGUAAAAAUCAAUAAUGGUUUUUGUAUGUUUCUGAUAUCACUACAUUCCCGGUUCCAAAGCACAUAUUACGUAUGUUUACGUAUUAAUGCGAAGAAUGAAGAGGAGAGAGGGGGCAUUUUUUAAUGUUGUCUCAGAUAACAAAACUCCUAUAUCCGGUGCCGAUUUAUAUACAUUAUUUUUUGGCUUCAUAGGACACUUUCCAAGAAAGACGUGGGACCGACAAGUCCAGGAGAGAUCCUCCAAGAAGACAAUUUUUUUAAUGGAUGCGCAUCUAAGAAAAUUAUAUUUUACAAACAUUUUUCGUAUACUUUAAUAAAAUCCAAACAUUAAAUAAUUUUUCAACUGCCAUGGCUAGGGAAUGAGUGAUGAGAAUGCAAAAGAUGCGGUAUUAAUCCCGGAUUUAUUAUAUAUUUAUGUCGCUAUUAUUUAUAAAAAUCAUAACGCCGACACUCGAUAAUGGAGGAGAAAACCGUGAUGGUAGCUGUAAACCAUUGAAAAUGCUUAUAAUUCAAACUCUGCCAAUCACAAUUUCCAUCUCUUAUUCAUUUCUAUUGCACUUUAUUCAUAUUUUAUUAUACUUUAUAUUAUUUCUUUGUUCAAUAAACAUGUUUUAAACACUUUAUUGAGUUCUCCUCUAUCAAAUUCAGAGGGUUUUUUACUGCAUAUAUUCUGCAUAUUUUACCUUUUGUUACUGCAUAUUUUAUG
rnacentral:lncRNA from 1 species